CAUCGUGCUCAAACGCCCCUUCAUCUUUAGCACCAUUAGUAUUUGCAGUGGAAGAUAUGAGAGGUGGUGAAGAUGGUGGAAGAGGUGGAUCCCCAGGAGGUGAAGGCGGCAAAGGUGGCCGAGGACCAGGAACUGCAGGUUGUACAUGAGAAUCAUGGCUUUUCAAAUGCAUGGAGGGAUCAAAUGGGGGAGGUGUGGAUAAACCAGGGUUCCGAGGACCAGGAACUGCAGAUUGUACAUGAGAAUCAUGGCUUUUCAAAUGCAUGGAGGGAUCAAAUGGGGGAGGUGUGGAUAAACCAGGGUUCUGUGAAUUAGGUGGUGGUGGAGGAGGAGGAAGGUUAUGAUGAAAAACUUGCAUACUGUCUGGCGAUGGCUGAUGAAAUGCACCUCUAUAAGGUGUUUGACCUAGUAAUGGAGGUGG
rnacentral:lncRNA from 1 species